rnacentral:rRNA from 1 species
UUUGAUUUUCUUCGGAAAUGAAGAUUUUGUGACUGAGUGGCGGACGGGUGAGUAACGCGUGGGUAACCUGCCUCAUACAGGGGGAUAACAGUUGGAAACGACUGCUAAUACCGCAUGAGCGCACAGGAUUGCAUGAUCCGGUGUGAAAAACUCCGGUGGUAUGAGAUGGACCCGCGUCUGAUUAGCCAGUUGGCAGGGUAACGGCCUACCAAAGCGACGAUCAGUAGCCGACCUGAGAGGGUGACCGGCCACAUUGGGACUGAGACACGGCCCAAACUCCUACGGGAGGCAGCAGUGGGGAAUAUUGCACAAUGGGGGAAACCCUGAUGCAGCGACGCCGCGUGAGCGAAGAAGUAUUUCGGUAUGUAAAGCUCUAUCAGCAGGGAAGAAGAAUGACGGUACCUGACUAAGAAGCACCGGCUAAAUACGUGCCAGCAGCCGCGGUAAUACGUAUGGUGCAAGCGUUAUCCGGAUUUACUGGGUGUAAAGGGAGCGCAGGCGGUGCGGCAAGUCUGAUGUGAAAGCCCGGGGCUCAACCCCGGUACUGCAUUGGAAACUGUCGUACUAGAGUGUCGGAGGGGUAAGUGGAAUUCCUAGUGUAGCGGUGAAAUGCGUAGAUAUUAGGAGGAA